rnacentral:sRNA from 1 species
GGCGGUGCCCCCUUCCCGGGCAGCAGCGGCUCUUCCGCCCUGCUGCAGACGGAGGUGCUGGAUCUGGACGAGGACGAGGACGACCUGGAGGUGUUCAGCAAGGGAGGUUGAAUGUCACUCCAGUUUCGCAAGUUGCUGCUGAGAGAACUGAGUUCAGAUCACAACGUUGUAUUCAUUACUAAUAAGCCUGUUGAUUUUAAUGUUACCUGGAGAUAUUAGACAGAACUAUUGAAGGUGACUGAGCAGAUGA